rfam:Dipodomys ordii contig_10600, whole genome shotgun sequence.
CUGUGUCUUGCUUCAACAGUAUUGAGAUGGAACGGACCCAG